UGUCACUACUUUGGCCACAAUCAAUGAAGAAGUUCUUUGAAACCAGGACUGAGGCCUCCAGGAUUCAAGCAUCAACCAUUAUAUCACAGAAAGAAGAGACAGAUGUGAAGACAUUUCCAGAAGGUGAUGCAGUCCUCUCCUCCUGCAGAGACAGAAUAGGUUAAUCACAGAAACUGUCCAAAGAUUUAAAU